rnacentral:rRNA from 1 species
AUUGAACGCUGGCGGCAGGCCUAACACAUGCAAGUCGGACGGUAGCACAGAGGAGCUUGCUCCUCGGGUGACGAGUGGCGGACGGGUGAGUAAUGUCUGGGGAUCUGCCCGAUAGAGGGGGAUAACCACUGGAAACGGUGGCUAAUACCGCAUAACGUCGCAAGACCAAAGAGGGACCUUCGGGCCUCUCACUAUCGGAUGAACCCAGAUGGGAUUAGCUAGUAGGCGGGGUAACGGCCCACCUAGGCGACGAUCCCUAGCUGGUCUGAGAGGAUGACAAGCCACACUGGAACGGAGACACGGUCCAGACUCCUACGGGAGGCAGCAGUGGGGAAUAUUGCACAAUGGGCGCAAGCCUGAUGCAGCCAUGCCGCGUGUAUGAAGAAGGCCUUCGGGUUGUAAAGUACUUUCAGCGGGGAGGAAGGCGAUAAGGUUAAUAACCUUGUCGAUUGACGUUACUCGCAGAAGAAGCACCGGCUAACUCCGUGCCAGCCGCCGCCGUAA